rnacentral:rRNA from 1 species
CUAAGACUGGAUAGGAAACACAAAGGCAUCUUUUUGUUUUUAAAAGACCUUCUUACGAAGGUAUGCUUAAAGAGGGGCUUGCGCCACAUUAGUUAGUUGGUAGAGUAAAAGCCUACCAAGACGAUGAUGUGUAGCUGGACUGAGAGGUUGAACAGCCACAUUGGGACUGAGACACGGCCCAAACUCCUACGGGAGGCAGCAGUAGGGAAUUUUCGGCAAUGGAGGAAACUCUGACCGAGCAACGCCGCGUGAACGAUGAAGUAUUUCGGUAUGUAAAGUUCUUUUAUUGAAGAAGAAAAAGUAGUGGAAAAACUAUAUUGACGUUAUUCAAUGAAUAAGCCCCGGCUAACUAUGUGCCAGCAGCCGCGGUAAGACAUAGGGGGCGAGCGUUAUCCGGAAUUAUUGGGCGUAAAGGGUGCGUAGGCUGUUAGAUAAGUCUAUAAUUUAAUUUCAGUGCUUAACGCUGUCUUGUUAUAGAAACUGUCUUGACUAGAGUGAGAUAGAGGCAAGCGGAAUUCCAUGUGUAGCGGUAAAAUGUGUAAAUAUAUGGAGGAACACCAGAAGCGUAGGCGGCUUGCUGGGUCUUUACUGACGCUGAGGCACGAAAGCGUGGGUAGCAAACAGGAUUAGAUACCCUGGUAGUCCACGCCGUAAACGAUGAGUACUAAGUGUCGGGGUAAAACUCGGUACUGAAGUUAACACAUUAAGUACUCCGCCUGAGUAGUACGUACGCAAGUAUGAAACUUAAAGGAAUUGACGGGACUCCGCACAAGCGGUGGAUCAUGUUGUUUAAUUCGAAGAUACACGAAAAAUCUUACCAGGUCUUGACAUACUCUGCAAAGCUAUAGAAAUAUAGUGGAGGUUAUCAGGGAUACAGGUGGUGCAUGGUUGUCGUCAGUUCGUGUCGUGAGAUGUUAGGUUAAGUCCUAAAACGAACGCAACCCUUGUCGUUAAUUGCCAGCACAUAAUGGUGGGGACUUUAACGAGACUGCCAAUUAAACAUUGGAGGAAGGUGAGGAUUACGUCAAAUCAUCAUGCCCCUUAUGAUCUGGGCUACAAACGUGAUACAAUGGCUGUGACAAAGAGUAGCUGAAACGCGAGUUUUUAGCCAAUCUCAAAAAAGCAGUCUCAGUUCGGAUUGAAGUCUGUAACUCGACUUCAUGAAGUUGGAAUCGCUAGUAAUCGCGAAUCAGCAUGUCGCGGUGAAUACGUUCUCGGGGUUUGUACACACCGCCCGUCAAACCACGAAAGUUAGCAAUGCCCGAAAGCAGUAGCUUAACUUCGCAAGAAGAGGGAACUGUCUAAGGUAGGGUUGAUGAU